rnacentral:tRNA from 1 species
GCAGUGGUGGGUCAGUGGUAAAACAUCUGCCUUCCACACAGGAGACCCAGGAUCGGUUCCUGGCCAGCGCA